UCGAACUCACAUCAGGCGAGACAACCCCCUGAA
rnacentral:rRNA from 1 species